GUGGGCGACGUGCCCGCUUCCAAAAUGGCGGCGGCAGCGGUGUCUGGUGCGCUUGGCCGGGCGGGCUGGAGGCUCCUGCAGCUGCGAUGCCUGCCCGUGGCCCGUUGCCGACAAGCCCUGGUGCCACGUGCCUUCCAUGCUUCAGCUGUGGGGCUAAGGUCUUCAGAUGAGCAGAAGCAGCAGCCUCCCAACUCAUUUUCUCAGCAGCAUUCUGAGACACGGGGGGCAGAAAAACCUGAUCCAGAGUCUUCUCAUUCACCCCCCAGGUAUACAGACCAGGGCGGCGAGGAGGAGGAGGACUAUGAAAGCGAGGAGCAGCUGCAGCACCGCAUCCUGACGGCAGCCCUAGAGUUUGUGCCCGCCCACGGGUGGACAGCAGAGGCGAUUGCAGAAGGAGCCCAGUCUCUGGGUCUCUCCAGUGCAGCAGCCAGCAUGUUUGGGAAGGAUGGCAGUGAGCUAAUACUGCAUUUUGUGACCCAGUGCAAUACCCGGCUCACACAUGUGCUAGAAGAGGAGCAGAAGCUGGUACAGUUGGGCCAGGCGGAGUAAGUCCCAUGGCAUUACUACUCAGGGUGGCAGCUAAGGAUCAGGGAACUUGGGCCCUACCAGCUAUCCCCAGGAGGCCAAUCCAAGCAGAACCCAAAGAGAGCAGCAUUGGGCAGCCCUGCUGCUGUGAUGGGACUGAAACCUGGCAGCCUGUCUCUGACAGCUUUAGUCAGGCCAGCGUCAGGUGCUGGUGGGACCCUCCUCCCUAGGGCUGAGUAAACCGUGGAGCACUGAGCCCCUGCCUUUCACUCAGAGACACACUGUUUUCUUUUCCCUCUUCCAGGAAGAGGAAGACAGACCAGUUCCUGAGGGAUGCAGUGGAAACCAGACUGAGAAUGCUGAUCCCGUACAUUGAGCACUGGCCCCGGGUACUGAGUCCAUAUCCAGGCCCCAGAGCAACAAUAAUCCUAAUAUUUAUCAUUCUCAGCACCUUCACUCAGAUGACUUUGUACACUGUUCAGAACUUAGUUCCUCAAUCUCUAUAAACCCGAG
rnacentral:sRNA from 1 species